GGGCCCGCACAAGCGGUGGAGUAUGUGGUUUAAUUCGAUGCAACGCGAAGAACCUUACCAGGGUUUGACAUCCUGCGAAUCUCUUGGAAACAGGAGAGUGCCUUCGGGAACGCAGUGACAGGUGGUGCAUGGCUGUCGUCAGCUCGUGUCGUGAGAUGUUGGGUUAAGUCCCGCAACGAGCGCAACCCACGUCUUUAGUUGCCAGCAUUUAGUUGGGCACUCUAGAGAAACUGCCUGGGAUGACCAGGAGGAAGGCGAGGAUGACGUCAAGUCCUCAUGGCCCUUAUGGGCUGGGCUACACACGUGCUACAAUGGCGGUUACAAUGGGAAGCAAUAGGGUGACCUGGAGCUAAUCCCCAAAGGCCGUCUCAGUUCGGAUUGUUCUCUGCAACUCGAGAACAUGAAGUCGGAAUCGCUAGUAAUCGU
rnacentral:rRNA from 1 species